rnacentral:rRNA from 1 species
CAAGUCGAGCGAGAAGACGUAGCAAUACGUUUGUAAAGCGGCGAACGGGUGAGGAAUACAUGGGUAACCUACCCUCGAGUGGGGAAUAACUAGCCGAAAGGUUAGCUAAUACCGCGUACGCUUCUUGGACUUCGGUUCAGGGAGGAAAGCGAUACCGUGGGUAUCGCGCUCUUGGAUGGGCUCAUGUCCUAUCAGCUUGUUGGUGAGGUAACGGCUCACCAAGGCUUCGACGGGUAGCUGGUCUGAGAGGACGAUCAGCCACACUGGCACUGCGACACGGGCCAGACUCCUACGGGAGGCAGCAGUAAGGAAUAUUGCGCAAUGGGCGAAAGCCUGACGCAGCGACGCCGCGUGGGGGAUGAAGGUCUUCGGAUUGUAAACCCCUUUCGGGAGGGAAGAUGGAAUGGGGUAACCCAUUCGGACGGUACCUCCAGAAGCAGCCACGGCUAACUUCGUGCCAGCAGCCGCGGUAAUACGAAGGUGGCAAGCGUUAUUCGGAUUUACUGGGCGUACAGGGAGCGUAGGCGGUUCGGUAAGCCCUCUGUGAAAUCUCCAGGCUUAACCUGGAACAGUCGGAGGGGACUGCCGGGCUAGAGGACGGGAGAGGAGCGCGGAAUUCCCGGUGUAGCGGUGAAAUGCGUAGAGAUCGGGAGGAAGGCCGGUGGCGAAGGCGGCGCUCUGGAACGUUUCUGACGCUGAGGCUCGAAAGCGUGGGGAGCAACAGGAUUAGAUACCCUGGUAGUCCACGCCUUAA